CCCACCUCAGCUUCCCAAAGUGCUGGGAUUACAGGUGUGAGCAAAAUAUUCUUUAUAUUAGGAUUAGUUAAUGUCAGUUAUAUUUACUGAUCUAAAGGCAGAUUAGAAUGUAUACAUGUGUAUGUAUUUGUCAAUAUAUUAAACUAGUCAAAAAGCCUCUUCGCUGUUUAAAGAUAAUUUAUAAUUCUGCAAUUAAAUAUCUGUGUCCCUUUAAAAUCACAUCACAUUCUUUUUUUUUUUUUUUUUUUAAACCAGUGUCUGCCUGUUUAGGAUGUAGUUCACUGUGAAUUUUUAAAUCAAAGAAAAUAACUUGUUCCAGGUUUUGAAAAAGGAGACAAGGAAGUAUUCAAGCUUCACUAAUAGAGCACAGUGCUUUAAACUGUGAGGGACUUCUCAUUGGGUCCAGUCUCGUCAUUAUACAGAAAAGGAAACAGAGGCUCUCAAAGGUGAAGCAAUUUGCCUAAAAUGACAUAGCUAAUUAGUGGCCCAGCCAAAACCCAAAUCCAGGACUUCUGGCUUUCAGUGCUGUGACCCUCCUGCUAUUCCAUGCUGCCAGCUGGCUUAAAAAAAAGAAAAAAAAAAAAAAAGAGAGAGAA